CAGUCGCCACGGUAAUACAGAGGGUGCGAGCGUUAAUCGGAUUUACUGGGCGUAAAGCGUGCGUAGGCGGCUUUUUAAGUCGGAUGUGAAAUCCCUGAGCUUAACUUAGGAAUUGCAUUCGAUACUGGGAAGCUAGAGUAUGGGAGAGGAUGGUAGAAUUCCAGGUGUAGCGGUGAAAUGCGUAGAGAUCUGGAGGAAUACCGAUGGCGAAGGCAGCCAUUUGGCCUAAUACUGACGCUGAGGUACGAAAGCAUGGGGAGCAAACAGGAUUAGAUACCCGAGUAGUCCCUGUCUCUUAUAC
rnacentral:rRNA from 1 species